rnacentral:rRNA from 1 species
GACGAACGCUGGCGGCGUGCUUAACACAUGCAAGUCGAACGGAAAGGCCCUGCUUUUGUGGGGUGCUCGAGUGGCGAACGGGUGAGUAACACGUGAGUAACCUGCCCUUGACUUUGGGAUAACUUCAGGAAACUGGGGCUAAUACCGGAUAGGAGCUCCUGAUGCAUGGUGGUGGUUGGAAAGUUUCGGCUGUUGUGGAUCGACUCGCGGCUUAUCAGCUUGUUGGUGGAGUAGUGGCUUACCAAGGUUUUGACGGCUAGCCUGCCUGAGAGGGUGAACAGCCACAUGAGGACUGAGAUACGGCGCAGACGGGUACGGGAGGCAGCAGUGGGGAAUAUGGCACAGUGGGGGGGAGCCUGAGGCAGCAAUGCCGCGAUCGUGAUGACGGCCUUCUGGUUAUAAACCGCUUUCGCCUGUGACGAAGCGUGAGUGACGGUAAUGGGUAAAGAAGCACCGGCUAACUACGUG